GUCAAAGUGACAGCGACUGAGAAGAGGCCAGGGAAACCAAACAGACAGCGUGUGGACACGUAGAAGUCAAAAUCAUAAGAUAUGGGAAAAAGGAGGAACUCCCCAGAGAGGAAUUUUGUGGGGGGUGACAGGAGUGCAUCCUCUGGAAACGGGGAAAGUGACAUGGAAGAAGAAACCAACAAACAGCAAGUCGAUCAAAAUCUUUCACAUGAAAAUGAAGAAAAUACACCUGAAAACAAG